UCCCUGGUGGCUGAGAGGGUAAAGCGUCUGCCUGCAAUGCAGGAGACCCAGGUUCGAUCCCUGGGUCGGGAA
rnacentral:tRNA from 1 species